AAUCUGCGAUAACUAAUAUGAAUUGCAGAACCCUGUGAAUCAUUGAGAUUUCGAACGCAUAGCGCCCAGGGCUUUGGUCCUGGGCACAUCCGGUUGAGUGACGCUUCAUAUUCUUGCUCUCUAUCUUCCAAGACAGAAAGCAGUUUUUUGCAGACGCGCGUUGCAAAUGGCACGCACUACUGCUAAAUACUUGAGCAAACUUAACUCGAGAGUUUGGUAUGGCAUUAAAUUGCAUUCAUAACCGUUCUCUCGUGGUGUUUGUACCCUUGUGGUGCUUAAGCACUUCAUAGACAAGGACUCUUGUUGUCUUUGCACAAAAUACGUCCUCAACUCGGGUGGGACUACCCGCUGAACUUAA
rnacentral:misc_RNA from 1 species